AAAGAGGAAGUGUAAUUGGUUUUUGCACUUGUGGGCGUUGAGAAAUUAAUAUUUCUGGUUCUACAAAGAAAGAGAGAGAUGGAAAUAAGAAGGCAAAGUAACAAGAGAGAGGAGGGCAUGGGUGUGACUACUGGCCAUGAAGAGACUACUACUACUGUUGAUUGGGGAGGCAGACCCGUAACCCUAAGAAGCAUGGUGGGAUGAAAGCAGCUUCCUUUGUUUUUGGUUUGUACCUCUUUUUGUGUCACGC
rnacentral:lncRNA from 1 species